rnacentral:rRNA from 1 species
GACGAACGCUGGCGGCGUGCCUAAUACAUGCAAGUAGAACGCACAGUUUAUACCGUAGCUUGCUACACCAUAAACUGUGAGUUGCGAACGGGUGAGUAACGCGUAGGUAACCUGCCUGGUAGCGGGGGAUAACUAUUGGAAACGAUAGCUAAUACCGCAUAAUAUUGAUUAUUGCAUGAUAAUUGAUUGAAAGAUGCUAUUGCAUCACUACCAGAUGGACCUGCGUUGUAUUAGCUAGUAGGUGAGGUAACGGCUCACCUAGGCGACGAUACAUAGCCGACCUGAGAGGGUGAUCGGCCACACUGGGACUGAGACACGGCCCAGAAUCCUACGGGAGGCAGCAGUAGGGAAGCUUCGGCAAUGGACGAAAGUCUGACCGAGCAACGCCGCGUGAGUGAAGAAGGUUUUCGGAUCGUAAAGCUCUGUUGUAAGAGAAGAACGGGUGUGAGAGUGGAAAGUUCACACUGUGACGGUAUCUUACCAGAAAGGGACGGCUAACUACGUG